rnacentral:rRNA from 1 species
UGGCGAACUGGUGAGUAACACGUGGGUGAUCUGCCCUGCACUUCGGGAUAAGCCUGGGAAACUGGGUCUAAUACCGGAUAGGACGAUGGUUUGGAUGCCAUUGUGGAAAGUUUUCGGUGUGGGAUGAGCUCGCGGCCUAUCAGCUUGUUGGUGGGGUAAUGGCCUACCAAGGCGUCGACGGGUAGCCGGCCUGAGAGGGUGUACGGCCACAUUGGGACUGAGAUACGGCCCAG